rnacentral:rRNA from 1 species
GUGCCAGCAGCCGCGGUAAGACGAACCGUGCGAACGUUGUUCGGAAUCACUGGGCUUAAAGGGCGCGUAGGCGGGUGAGCAAGUCUAGGGUGAAAUACUUCAGCUUAACUGGAGAAGUGCCUUAGAUACUGCUUGUCUCGAGGGAGGUAGGGGUCAUCGGAACUUCUGGUGGAGCGGUGAAAUGCGUUGAUAUCAGAAGGAACGCCGGUGGCGAAAGCGGAUGACUGGACCUCUUCUGACGCUGAGGCGCGAAAGCUAGGGGAGCGAACGGGAUUAGAAACCCUUGUAGUCC